CCUACGGGAGGCAGCAGUGGGGAAUAUUGCACAAUGGGGGAAACCCUGAUGCAGCCACGCCGCGUGAGUGAUGACGGCCUUCGGGUUGUAAAGCUCUGUCUUCAGGGACGAUAAUGACGGUACCUGAGGAGGAAGCCACGGCUAACUACGGUCCAGCAGCCGCGGUAACACGUAGGUGGCGAUCUUUGUCCGGAUUUACUGGUCGUAAAGGGAUCGUAGGCGGACUUUUAAGUGAGAUGUGAAAUACUCGGGCUCAACUUGAGUGCUUUAGUUCAAACUGGAAGUCUAGAGUGCAGGAGAGGAGAAUGGAAUUCCUGGUGUAGCGGUGAAAUGCGUAGAGAUUAGGAAGAACACCAGUGGCGAAGGCGAUUCUCUGGACUGUAACUGACGCUGAGGCUCGAAAGCGUGGGGAGCAAACAGGAUUAGAUACCCUUGUAGUC
rnacentral:rRNA from 1 species